rnacentral:rRNA from 1 species
UACGUAGGGGGCUAGCGUUGUCCGGAAUCAUUGGGCGUAAAGCGCGUGUAGGCGGUCCGAUAAGUCUGCUGUGAAAGCCAGGGGCUCAACCCUUGGAUGCCGGUGGAUACUGUCGGGCUUGAGUACGGAAGAGGCGAGUGGAAUUCCUGGUGUAGCGGUGAAAUGCGCAGAUAUCAGGAGGAACACCAAUUGCGAAGGCAGCUCGCUGGGACGUUACUGACGCUGAGACGCGAAAGCGUGGGGAGCAAACAGG